CUCCAACUCCUGACCUCAAGUGAUUCACCCCACCCUCGGCCUUCCAAAGUGUUGGGAUUACAGGUGUCAGCUACCACGCCAGUCCUAAUUAUCACCUUUUUCGAGGCAGAACACCAGACUGCAGAGUUCGUUUGAUUUGAGCUACAAUACCUCCUGGAUAUUGAUUCACAGAUAGACAAGGGUAAUAACCACUGAGGCUGCACCUAGACCUAGGCUGGAGAGAAGCUGCUGCCACUGCUGGUGGAGAAUUGAACGAGGAAACUGCAUUCCAUAGAAGUCAGAUCCAGAAGCCUCUGCUGCUGCAGCUGCCUCCUGACCUCCAGGAAGCUGUCUACUUGGCAAUGAAAAGCUUCUGCAAGGAAGCUUCAUCUCUCUCUGUGGUCCUGCCCAUCAGAAGCCUGCACUUCUGACAAUCUAUAAGGGAUUCUUAAUUUUUUUUUCUUUUAGCUUUAUCAGGUCAGAGGAUAUAAUAGAGGUUAAAAUAACCUGUUUGAGAAUAACCAGGAGUGGUUAUUUUUUAAGUGUCAACUUCUAUUCUUUCUAGGUUUCCAGCAUGGCAGAUUAUAGAAUACAACAUUUAAGUACUUGACUGAUCUUCUCACUUUUCUUUCUCACUGAAAUUAACUAAUUUAUUUGACACAGAGUCUUGCUGU